AAUCAGCUUCAUGUUUCUAAAAUCAACUCGGAUGAAGUUUCAAAAUGGCGUCUGAAGAAGUUCUCCAGCUAUUCAAUGUGAAAAAUCUUAAAAAAAGAACAGGGUGCAUUUUGGACGGCAAGGAUUGUUUGGCCGUAUUACCAACAGGCUACGUGAAGAGAUUACCGUACCAGAUUGCGAUUCCGCGGUGCGUCGAUUUACCCAAAUGGACCCAAAUGGAACGUAAAAUGACCCAAAUGGACCCAAACCCAAAUGGAAACAAAUGGACCCAAAUGGAAUAACAAAUGGAAACAAAUGGAAAUUGAAUGGCAUAAUUGAAGAUUUUAUUUAAUAAUUUCAAUUAUAUGAUGAAUAAUCAAUAAAUAUAAAUUCUAAAACGACAUUUUCUUGUGUUGUUAAUGAUUUGAUGUGUGAUAUGUGAUGUAAAUCAUUAUAAUAAUAAAAACAAUAGAAAGCGGUGGGGAGAGAGCCAAAGAAGAUAAUCGUUUGCUGUCCGUUGAUCGCCCUCAUGAAAGACCAGGUGGAAAGGCUUUCCAAAAUACCAAACAUUCGAGCGAUAUAUAGAGAUGGCACCCCAGAAGCUGACCGCACCAUAAGGGAUGGGGCUUUUGAUUAUCUCUUUGGGUCCCCUGAGUUGCUCGUCGGGGAUAGCACAUUUAUAGACCAGCUCCAUGCAUUUGAUGUUUCAACCAUUGUUGUGGACGAAUUUCACACAAUUCAAUGUUGGUAAGUAAAUAUUUCUGUUUAGCAACUCCAUUUAUGAAUUGUCUUUAGCAUCAAUGGGUGAGAAGGAUGAUGAUGACAGAAACGCAUUCAGAAAAUGGUUCAGCUACGUUGGGGAACUUCGUUCCAUUUUCCCAUCUGCAUCAGUUCUGGCACUAGGUGCAACCGGCACCCAUAAAAUUUGCAGAAGAGUCCGCAAAGUCCUAAAUUUGAAGGAUGAUGCAACCGAGAUCCGACUGCCACCAGACAAACCAAACAUAAAACUAGUUGUGAAAAAAAUUCCAAAUUCUGUUGACCUAGGAAUGGCCUGGAUCAUCGAUCAGUUAGACUCUUUUCCGAGAACUAUCAUAUAUUGUAACAGCAUUCGUGAUGUCUCCAAAUUGUACUGUUACAUAACUUCAGAAGUUCCAGACAGCGUUUCCUUCUGUGAGAUGUUUCAUUCUGAGACACCAGAUGCAAAGAAGGAAAAAAUACUGGAUGACCUUUGCAACGAACAUGGAUCAUUGAGAAUCGUUAUUGCAACCAGUGCCUUUGGAAUACAAUGUAAUACUAUAUGGUGCUCCGAAGCAGUUAGUGGAAGUAGUUCAGGAGAAUGGCUGUGCUGGUCGGGAUGGAAAUCCAGCUCUUGCGUUACUCCUUUACAAUUCAUAUCACCUAAGAAAAGGAGAGCAGGAGGUGAAGGAUGUUUACAAUUCACAAACUUGUAGAAGAAAAAUGUUGUUGAAACCUAUUGUGAAGGAAAGUGAACUUACAAUAAAAGAUUCCCACCACAUGUGUUGUGACAGAUGUAUGCUGUUGUGCAAAUGUGAUGACUGUCAUAAAGAUACAUUUCCUCUUGAAAAAAUGAUAAAAGAUGAACCAUCAGUCUUAGACGGUGACACAAACAGUGAUUCUACUGAACUAUAUGAUGAUGCUGAACUUUUAAUUGAAUCAGACACCGAGUUUGAUUAAGCAAUUAUGCAUGCCUUUGAAUUUGAUCAUUAUCUAAUAAAACUAGUUCAUGAAUGUAAAUGUUCACCUUCAUGUUGUCUAGAACAUCACAUUCAGUGAUAAUUUAAUAAAUUUGUAUAAUCCUUGUUGACUAU
rnacentral:sRNA from 1 species